CCUGCCUCCAAAUUGAAAAGCUACGAAAAUUUCUUUUUCUAAUUUGAAAUUGCCGCCAACAGCAUGAACAGUUGAAUUAUAUAAUAGACUACUGACGUAGUUGUACUACGUAUUGAUGACAAACAAUAUUCCUACGACUUUUGUCAUUUGGGAAAUCUAAACUGCUUGUCUUAAGAGAUUUUCGGCGAUUAAAUAUUUCAUACAAUUGUUCUUUGACAUCUUAGCUAAAAGCACAAGUCAUAAUGAACUACACAAGGAUUUUUAAUAAGCACUACUUCCUAUGUGUAACUUUAAAACUUUUGGAUAAAUCGACGAUCAUUUAAGGUUUUUCUGGUCAUUUUUUUUGUAAUCCAGAAUAAAAAGUAUUAAAAAAGUGUUCAAUUAGUUAUAUAUAACAUAGUAACAAGCUAGAUAAUAACAAUGGCAAGUAUUUCAGGAUUUAUUGGGUAGAACACAAAUCUAGGGUGCUCGCAUAAUGCAGCUUACUGCAUAAAAAUUGGAACCAGUGCAAUGCCAGCUGGAAUAAGCUGAUAACACCAGAAAAUCAGUUCAUGUAUCUCUAGUGUAAAAAAUAAAAAUCCAAAUAUUGAAACUAGUGAAAAAACACAAUAAAGAAAACAUAAAGUCAGCAUCUUCUCAGACUUCUGAUUGUCUUGUACACAGGCUCAGUACAGUCCAACACGUCUCUGACAUACAUGUCAUAGCAGUCUACUCCAUUUGUUUCUUUUCGAACUUUCUCGCUCAGUAUUCAAAUGCUCAGUUAUAAUUCUUUGCAGUUGAUUAGUUUUACGAAUAGCUUAGAUUUAUACAUCAACAUGCAGCAUUCGAAGUUUGUCAACAAAACAUAAAAUUGUAUAAAUUAAGUAUUC
rnacentral:lncRNA from 1 species